rnacentral:tRNA from 1 species
GGGGAUGUAGCUCAGCGGGAGAGCGCCUGCCUUGCAAGCAGGAGGUCGGCGGUUCGAGUCCGCUCAUCUCCACCA